AAGUCCCGUAACGAGCGCAACCCUUGUCCUCAGUUACCAGCGGUUCGGCCGGGAACUCUGGGGAGACUGCCGGUGACAAACCGGAGGAAGGUGGGGAUGACGUCAAGUCAUCAUGGCCCUUACGAGUAGGGCUACACACGUGCUACAAUGGUCAGUACAGAGGGUUGCGAAGCCGCGAGGUGGAGCUAAUCCCACAAAGCUGGUCGUAGUCCGGAUUGGAGUCUGCAACUCGACUCCAUGAAGUCGGAAUCGCUAGUAAUCGUGGAUCAGAAUGCCACGGUGAAUACGUUCCCGGGCCUU
rnacentral:rRNA from 1 species